rnacentral:lncRNA from 1 species
AUGGCUGUCCAGAAGCCAGAAUCUUCUCACUGCCCCAUGUCGCUCCCGCAAGGCCUACCAGAGGACCCUCAUGGUGUGGUAGGGGGUCCUGGCAGGGGCCAGGGGCCAGGGUGGAGACUUGGCAGUGGGGGUGGGUUUGGUGUCCCCACAGAUGAUUUUGCCCUGAGCAUUCCUGGAUGUGGCAACCUCAGUCUCAAGAAGAGCGACAGGACGCCAGCUCCCAUGCAGAGACAGAUCCAGGAUUCUGGUCCGUCUGACCUCCCAAGAGGGAUGGCUGGACACACAAGAUGUUCACCUCUUGAAGCUACAGAGACCAUCAGGCUAGAGGACACUCAGAAGGGAUUCCAGUCCACUCCUCAUCUCAUGACUCAACCUUUUUGUCAACAUCCGGGUGGCACCCAGCUUCUGCCGUUUUGUUUCUUCUCACUCAGUCAUCCAAGUCAUGUGUAAAAUGAGGUGUUAUUCUUUGUGCCACUCACAAGUGUCAGUUAAUCCCCAUCAUGAGAAAAAAACUGAAGAAAGAUAAAUCAUAAAAUAGAACAUUAAUUAGAACAUUAAUAGAUUUUAUUGCAGUUUUUAAAAAGGUGGGGUUUUUUGUUUGUUUUUGUUUUUGUUUUUGAGACAGAGUUUUGCUCUUAUUGCCCAGACCGGAGUGCAAUGGUGCGAUCUUGGCUCACUGCAACCUCCGCCUCCUAGGUUCAAGCAAUUCUCCUGCCUCAGCCUCCCGAGUAGCUGGGAUUACAGGUAUGCGCCACCAUGCCCUGCUAAUUUCGUACUUUUAGUAGAGACGGAGUUUCGCCAUGUUGGUCAGGCUGGUCUUGAAAUCCCAACAUCAGGUGAUCUGUCCACCUCAGCCUCCCAAAGUCCUGGGAUUACAGGCGGCAGCCACCACUCCCGGCACAAGAACUCAUCUUUAAAGAGCUCUGAGAGCAGUAUAGGUGGCCAAAGCACUCAGGUGGAACCGGAAGUCAUCACUAAGCGACCGUGGCUGCUUUGUUUGUCCCUAACAAUAGCCAAGCAGAUGUUGCAGCUCCUCUGUCUGCCACCCUGGC